rnacentral:rRNA from 1 species
AGUGAACGCUGGCGGUAGGCCUAACACAUGCAAGUCGAACGGCAGCACAGUAAGAGCUUGCUCUUACGGGUGGCGAGUGGCGGACGGGUGAGGAAUACAUCGGAAUCUACUUUUUCGUGGGGGAUAACGUAGGGAAACUUACGCUAAUACCGCAUACGACCUACGGGUGAAAGCAGGGGAUCUUCGGACCUUGCGCGAUUGUAUGAGCCGAUGUCGGAUUAGCUAGUUGGCGGGGUAAAGGCCCACCAAGGCGACGAUCCGUAGCUGGUCUGAGAGGAUGAUCAGCCACACUGGAACUGAGACACGGUCCAGACUCCUACGGGAGGCAGCAGUGGGGAAUAUUGGACAAUGGGCGCAAGCCUGAUCCAGCCAUACCGCGUGGGUGAAGAAGGCCUUCGGGUUGUAAAGCCCUUUUGUUGGGAAAGAAAAGCAGCAGGUUAAUACCCCGCUGUUCUGACGGUACCCAAAGAAUAAGCACCGGCUAACUUCGU